UUCUUGUUGUGGUUAUCUGAAUAUUUUACACCAACAUCAUGCAGCUGUGCUGGAAAUUAGCUCUGAUGAUGAUGGUUCUUGUGUGUGUUACUGCGCAGCAAGACGGCUAUUCUACACACAGAAGGAAAAGUUCUGCUCUGAUCCAAAAGCACGCUGGAUUCAAGACCGUCUGAAAGGUCUAAAGGAGAUAGUGGACUGAGAAAAUAGAGGCCUAGAAGAUGCUGCAGAUCUACCUAUAUAUCAAUACAUCUAUCUAUAAAAAGAAGAAUAUAUAUUAUGUUUGUUUAUUUACCAUUAACUUAUGUGAAUGUUAAAAGAUGUUUCACUUAAUUGCUUUAUUUUAUCUGCUUUAAAAUAAAAUUUCA